rnacentral:tRNA from 1 species
GAGGGUAGAUCUCAGUGGUAGAGUGUGUGCUUAGCAUGCACAAGGUCCUGGGUUCAAUCCCCAGUACCUCCA